CCUACGGGAGGCAGCAGUGGGGAAUAUUGCACAAUGGGGGAAACCCUGAUGCAGCGACGCCGCGUGAGUGAAGAAGUAUCUCGGUACAUAAAGCUCUAUCAGCAGGGAAGAAAAUGACGGUACCUGACUAAGAAGCCCAGGCUAACUACGUGCCAGCAGCCGCGGUAAUACGUAGGGGGCAAGCGUUAUCCGGAUUUACUGGGUGGAAAGGGAGCGUAGACGGCAGCACAAGUCUGGAGUGAAAUCCCGGGGCUUAACCCCGGAACUGCUUUGGAAACUGUGCGGCUGGAGUGCAGGAGGGGUAAGCGGAAUUCCUAGUGUAGCGGUGAAAUGCGUAGAUAUUAGGAGGAACACCGGUGGCGAAGGCGGCUUACUGGACUGUAACUGACGUUGAGGCUCGAAAGCGUGGGGAGCAAACAGGAUUAGAUACCCCUGUAGUC
rnacentral:rRNA from 1 species